CCUACGGGUGGCAGCAGUCGAGAAUCAUUCACAAUGGGGGAAACCCUGAUGGUGCGACGCCGCGUGGGGGAAUGAAGGUCUUCGGAUUGUAAACCCCUGUCAUGUGGGAGCAAAUUAAAAAGAUAGUACCACAAGAGGAAGAGACGGCUAACUCUGUGCCAGCAGCCGCGGUAAUACAGAGGUCUCAAGCGGUGUUCGGAAUCACUGGGCGUAAAGCGUGCGUAGGCUGUUUCGUAAGUCGUGUGUGAAAGGCGCGGGCUCAACCCGCGGACGGCACAUGAUACUGCGGGACUAGAGUGAUGGAGGGGGAACCGGAAUGCUCGGUGUAGCAGUGAAAUGCGUAGAUAUCGAGAGGAACACUCGUGGCGAAGGCGGGUUCCUGGACAUUAACUGACGCUGAGGCACGAAGGCCAGGGGAGCGAAAGGGAUUAGAUACCCCAGUAGUC
rnacentral:rRNA from 1 species